rnacentral:rRNA from 1 species
GAUGAACGCUGGCGGCGUGCCUAAUACAUGCAAGUCGAACGCACCACUUCGGUGGUGAGUGGCGAACGGGUGAGUAACACGUAGAUAACCUGCCCUUAAGACGAGGAUAACCGUUGGAAACGAUGGCUAAAACUGGAUAGGAAUAUUGAAGGCAUCUUUAAUAUUUUAAAAGACCUAGCAAUAGGUAUACUUAAGGAGGGGUCUGCGGCGCAUUAGUUAGUUGGUGAGGUGAUGGCUUACCAAGACGAUGAUGCGUAGCCGGACUGAGAGGUUGAACGGCCACAUUGGGACUGAGAAACGGCCCAAACUCCUACGGGAGGCAGCAGUAGGGAAUUUUCGGCAAUGGGGGAAACCCUGACCGAGCAACGCCGCGUGAAUGACGAAGUACUUCGGUAUGUAAAGUUCUUUUAUCAAGGAAGAAUGACUUAUGGAAAAAUAAGUGUGACGGUACUUGAUGAAUAAGCCCCGGNUAACUAUGUG